AUGCUAGCUUGUCUCAUAUAUUUACAUAAUGGGGUGUUAAAAACUUAGAAAAAUAAUAAAAUACAUGUAGUGUCACAUUUUGUUGGAGGAAUAGUUAUGAUGCUUGAUGCAGAGGUACGGUAGUAGCAGUACCACCACCGGUCCGGCGGGUAGUACACCACUAUCGUCUUCACCGUCUCACCAUUGUGUCCGCCCCCGCAUAUCACUCAUAAAACCAAAGUAGGAGUGGCAUUCAUUCAUUCAUCCAUACAUGGCCGUGUAAUG
rnacentral:lncRNA from 1 species